rnacentral:rRNA from 1 species
CAGCCGCCGCGGUAAUACGUAGGGUGCAAGCGUUAAUCGGAAUUACUGGGCGUAAAGCGUGCGCAGGCGGUUAUAUAAGUCAGAUGUGAAAUCCCCGGGCUCAACCUGGGAACUGCAUUUGAGACUGUAUGGCUAGAGUGUGUCAGAGGGGGGUAGAAUUCCACGUGUAGCAGUGAAAUGCGUAGAUAUGUGGAGGAAUACCGAUGGCGAAGGCAGCCCCCUGGGAUAACACUGACGCUCAUGCACGAAAGCGUGGGGAGCAAACAGGAUUAGAUACCCCCGUAGUCCCUGUCUCUUAUAC